GUGAGGCGAGGAGGAGGAGGAAGGAGGAAGGCUGGGAAGAAGGGGGUGGGGGGAGACGGCUUCUGAAAUGGAGCCAGCCCAAACGGGAGACGAUGUUGGAAGAGGGGCUGCGUCAUUUCGGGGUUGGGAGAGGGCUCAGCUCCCCUCCGGCGCUUCCCUGUCUGCAGGCAGGGAGGACAGAGACCAGGAGGCCAGGGCAGGCUGCGGGGCGGUGUGCUGCCGGGACCACCGCCGCCCGCCCUUCUCCGCAAGCCCCCGGGGCCGGGUCGGGCAAGGAAAACCCCACGCUGGGAAAAGGAACAAGCAGCCUUCGGUCUGCCUAGCGAUGACAAGGGUAGGGAGAGGAGUGCGGGACUCUUCGGCCGCAAAGCAGUCGGCAGGACCGGUCACGAACGGGGGCCCGAGGCAGGGCCAGCUCCCGCGGGGGUAACAGGGUCCCGGGACGCGAGGGUAGGAGGAAUGUUCGGCAUUUAUAACGCCGGGGGAGGCUCACAGUCUUUCAAAGUUUCAGCUGGGUGAGUGGAAAUGCCUUCUGCCCCCUACACAUAUGGAAGCACAGCGAUCUUGGGGGGGUUGGGGAGGAAGAGAAAGCAAUUUUUUGUUUUUCUGCUGGACAGUGGAUCUCUUUGAGCCUAUUGUCAUGUCCUAUGGCAACAAUUAUAAAUAAACUUUUCUUUCUGCAGAGAGGAAGUAGCUGAGUCUGAGGGUCUGAAGCUAGUGAAUGACCAGCAGCUACCCUGAUCUUUGCUGGCCCAUGUCAGCAAGGUGGUGGCCUGGGCUGAAAGUACUGAAAGAUCUAGUGGACACAGAUCUAGAUCCAGUACUGAAAGACUGUGGACACAGUAUGCUGCAUGUCUGACACUUAAUAACUGGUCUGGGAAUAUCUUUCCUUCUUUCAACUCCUCCUAUCCAGCCCAACACAGUUUCCUUCUGAAACUCAUCCCCUCAAAACCUUUCUAAAUUCACCUUCAAAUACUCAUGUUCAUAUAUUUUUAAUUUUUUUUAAUUAUUUUUAUACCACCCCAGUGGUCCCGUGUUUAAAAAGCAAAGCUGCUCAGUGGCUUGAGAUCACAGGUGCCAUCAUGGAGGUCUAUGAUGAGUGUCAGCAAAAAGCAAGAGAGAAUUUAGUCCCCAGGCAAGAUUAUAGUGCUGGUACACAACCACAUACAGCCUUGUCCAAGCCUUCUACAGCACCUGCCACAGCAAAGGGCUUGACACAAACCAAUUUCAAGUCUUCUCCUUGAGACCCAGGGGCUGGAGAAGCUGUCCCUUCGAGGCUCCCUGGCACCUACCAGGGGGACAUGUACCUCUCUAAACGGGCCCUGGAGUCAUGAUGGAGUUGAGCGAAGCUGCGGGGAAAUAUGUCAUUUAAUCCCAGGGCUACUGAAGUCCCUUUUAUCAAACGUCAUGAUGCUGGAAUUAUACUGCUGUAAAAGCUAGUGAGUACUUAAAAGUAUCCAACAUCAGGCAAAUGUAUAGACUGGAGGAAUGGAUGUAAAAUGAAGGCACGUACAAACUUAUCACACGACCGUGAAAACCCCAAGCCGAUUAGAUAAAUAAAAAUAGAUGUGCAUUAAAAAAAAAAAAAAAAAAGGCACGAUAAAGCUCUAGCUGCUGUAUUCACACAAGGAGAACAGACAGCGUGUGCAUGUUUGUGUGCAAUGCCAAAAAGAGCAGCCUUAAGGUUGACCUACUGCAAUCUGCACUGAGCUCCUCAGACAAUAGACAAGUUCAAAUGUCAAAAAAUCUAAUAAUAAUAACCAGAGCUGCCAAACUGCACGAACUGUUUUCUGGUGUAUCACAAUUAUUCACCCUCAUAUCCACUGUAAGACUUCCAGUCCUUAUGCGUGUAAAAGAAAAUCUAUGUAAUGCAUAUGGAUUUUUUUUUUUAUCACAUGUGAAACGCCAUUGAGAUGGCAAGCACGCAAAUCGGAAUGAUAUCAUGUCUAAUAAAAGCAGGGCUAAGGUUUUCACAGUCUCUUUUUAAAGAUUCCAACUUGUAAAUCCCCUUUUAAUGUUGUUACAUGCACAAUUAUUCUUAUUAAUAAAAAUCCACAUGUUCAAGGGUCCAGAUUGAAACUAUGUAUCCCUCUGAUUUUAACAUCGGUGGGAGCAUUAGGUUUCCAUCAUAUGUAAUGUGUCUACGUUGAGCUCAAGUCAACAGAUAGAUUGUUCCAUUCAUUUGGCAACUCUCAUUACAGUCCGUGUGAGGUGAACCCUGAGCAAGACACGUUGGGUAAUAUCAAAAUUAUGCAGCUGGGAAAUAAAGGAAUCUUGCUUUGCAUGUGCAGUUCUGUAUUAUUGUUCUAAUUUAUUACAGAACCCAAAAUGCUUUGUUAUGCUCAAAACAAUAAAUAAGGUUCAGAGUGAAGCCUUCAGAAUAAAAGGUAUGGAUAAAUGAUCCA